CUCUCUCUCUCUCUCUCUCUCCCGACAGUUUGAGAAAACCAGUCGGGCAGCCACCUUCCAAGCCACCCCAACGCCACCUCGCGCCACCCCGACCCUCCGGACCGGACCCAGCAGCACCGGCCAGCUCCCGCCAUCAACCCCAGCCCGUCCGCCGCCCUGCUGCUGUGUGGAGCCGCCGGAAACUGCUGGAAAACGCAGCAGUUUUGGCAGAUUUUUCAACCUCAGUUUCUCCCUCAUCCGGCCACCAAAUCAGUCGUGUGAGGUAUCGAUUUCUAGCUAUUUUUCGUGCUCUAACUGAUGGUUGGGUGGGUUUUGAUCGAUUCCACCUCUAGGUUGCUCGAUUUUCGAUUUGAAAAUCGGCCGAACUUCUGCCGCCGUGAUCGGCCAUUUCCGGUCACUUUUUGGGGUAUGUCCAAGAACAAAAGUGACUCCAAAUGAGGUGGUUUACCUAGGAUAGGAGUUUGGAGUCCUGGUUCCGAGAUUUUUCGAAGAACCAUAAUCGCUUUGAACACCCGAAUCUGCCCGCUCGUGUGGCGGCGCGUGGGAGAGGGUGGUGGAGCGACUCUGGACAGUUUUGAGAUCCUCGUGUCGAGCGUGUAGGAUUUCGCGGAUCUCGAUUCGGAGUCCGUUUGAGCCCCGAACGGAUUUUCCAUAUCGCGCGAUCCUUGGGUGCAGUGUCGUCCAAUCGUUGGAUCGCGCUGAUUUUUGGAUAUGUCGUACUACAUGAUUCCAGGAUCGUGUAGGAUUCGACGGAUUGCGAAUCGGAGUCCCGGAUACUCCGAAAUCGCGAACCCUGGGGCUAGGGUUUGGAUUUUAAGCAAUAACGCGAUUUUGGCUAAUCCGACAGUCCGUUCCGGACCAAAUUCGCAGAACAUGGUUCCUCCUUUGUGAGAAACCUUCAGAGAAGCUCAGAUUGGCCAUCGGACAUCGUGGACCCCACGGGUCCCAGGUCGGCCGAUCUGGCAGUCUAUCGCUUAGUUGAGCGUCGGACCUUCCAAACUGGUCCAAGUGUCAGAAAGGGCUAAUGUGGGCAUAUGAGUAACUUGGGAUGAGAAGCACGUAAUUCUAGAAGCCCGGGGCAGUGUGUUUAAUUUCAAUUCUUUUUAUCCAGCAAUUUAUUAAUUUAUUAUUUUUGGAUAAUCAGGCACCAGGAGUCCAGCUAACCCACAGGAGGGACCUUCGAAGGGUCCAGCUAGCUCGGACCAGCUGUGAGUGGACUUUUCUUUCUUAAAAAGAUUCUAUAAUUGUAUUUUCUAUUUGAUCUUGAAUAAGUGUUAUGGUAUGAGUUUUAUUAUGAAAAUAUCUUUAUUUAUUUUUAUAAAAAUUAGCCAAGCAACAGAUUUGAGGUUUUUGAGCCAGAAAUAGUAAUUUAGCUCAGAUUUACCAGAGUACAGAGGAUAUCAGAUUUUAUCAGAGACAGUUAUUUUAGACCACCAUGUACCCACCAUAUAUUGGUGAUUACCUAGAGUUUGACCGAUGUCUACGGACAUCCAGUCCGAUUUCAGUUAGUCAGUGCACUUGACUUUGCCUCACGAGUUCCGGGGACGCUCGGACCGUGAGUGCCAGGAUUUGCGGCUCGGCAGACUUGGUGUCCCGAGACCUGCCAGGAUUGCGGCUCGGCUGACUCUGUGUCCCCGAGACCUGCCAGGAUUGCGGAUCAGGCUGACUACGGUCCCCUGCAUCCUGCCAGAGCGACUCGAGUUGACUUGGUGUCAUCGAGGAAUCUGCCGGCGGGACAGGCUGAUCAUAGUCCCCUGAUUUCGCCAGUUUGCGGCUCGGGUAGCCUGUGUGACGCCCGAGACCUGCCAGGGAAUUGACGGCUAUUACAGGGGUACAAUUAGGUGGCAGUUUUAAAGAAUUUUUAAGCGUUUCAUGCAGUUAUUAUUUCAUUCAUUUAUAUCCGUACAUUCGAUACUCAUUCAGGUGUUAUACCGACAUAUAUCUUUGUUCAGUUGUGUGAGCAUUUAUAUAAUUAUACCUAUUUAUGUUAAACUUAUUGUCUUGAGUUUGAUUAUGAUCAAAUCUCAGCUUUUAUAUCCUUAUGUUUCCAAACGGGGGUUAUUAUGUUCUAAAUUGUUUUCACGAACAUUAUUUUUGUCCACUCACCAUUUUAACCUUGUUUUUCGCCCCCAGGCCGUAGAAGAAGGAAGGAAACCACCCGGGCCAUCAUCUUAGCUCCCGCCCCACCACCGAAGCGUAGGAUCUCGUUGUAACUUUUCUUAGUUCUGUAAAUUUGUAUAGAAACGCUCUGAUAUCUCGUUGAACAUGAAGAACUGAAGUUGAGAUCUGUUGUUUGAGUUAGUCUGGC
rnacentral:lncRNA from 1 species